UACAGGGGGGGCGAGAGUUGUUCGGAAUUACUGGGCGUAAAGGGUUUGUAGGUGGCUUGUUAAGUCAGACGUGAAAUCCCUCAGCUUAACUGGGGAACUGCGUCUGAUACUAAUGAGCUUGAGUGCAGGAGAGGAACGCGGAAUUCCAGGUGUAGCGGUGAAAUGCGUAGAUAUCUGGAGGAACACCGGUGGCGAAGGCGGCGUUCUGGACUGCAACUGACACUGAAAAGCGAAAGCCAGGGGAGCAAACGGG
rnacentral:rRNA from 1 species